rnacentral:lncRNA from 1 species
AUGCUCCUGGGGCUGAGCCCCCACCUCAGCGCCCUCCUUCCCGGGCAGCAGCUGCCUGGCAGCGUGGUGUCAGGGUUUAUCAGCUUUCAUGGGCACGGCAAGCCUCCAAAGUCGACCGUGUGCCUGCUUCCUGCCCUCUCAUCCACCCUGCCACCCUGUGUCCUUGCUGGCUGUGUGCACAGAGCUCCCAACGCGCUCAACACCCCAGGUAUGCACGGAAGGAGGAGAAGGAAGAUGUUUCUUUUUAUUGAUUGCGAUUUGAAAGAGCUAAACGACAACUAGUAGGACUUCAGAUUAGUAGGAACUCAGACCUCAGAGUGACUUUUCUGGAAGAAUCCUUGGACCAGACGUGACUCCCCAAUAUACGAGGCAAGCCCUAAAGCAGCAGUGCCACGAUCCCAAGUUCUUUUUCCUUUGUAGGUCACUCCUGAGCGUCGCCUGAGCUCUUUGCACACCCCGCCUGGUGACAAACAACCUGGAAAUGCCACGUUGGUGGCGUGCUGUCCCUAACGGGUCUCCUCCAUCCCUGGCUCCUGUAAGGGUCUCCCUGGGGACUCGUUACCUUAAAGCUUGCAGUGCUGCCAGCAGUAACCACCAGCAGGUACCCCACAGGCUCUGGCACCGAGGAUUUGCCUCUGCCCCCUAUUAAUCAAUGUCAUUAGCAGUGCCUGGCGCUGGACGCACCAACCUCCAGCACAGGAGGCUCCAGCAGCAGCAGAACCAAGUGAACGACCAUCAGGAAUCGGAUGGACGACCUUGAAAUCUCGCCGGGAACUGCUGGCAGAUGAAAGGCGCUGGAGCUCCGAGAUGAGCGCUAUCGAUCCCAUCUCGCAGACGAAUGCCCGGCCUGGAAUAAGCGCCAGGCAGCGGCUCAGGGCUUCCAGACAAAGAAUAUUGAUCAGGUCGACUCAAUUAGCUGCUGAAGGCUUCACAUUUGGGCCCCCGUCGUUAGCGGCAAUUUCACGGAUAGAAACUUCACAAGUUCCCAUCUUUUAACUCAAUUAUGUCUCUCUUUGCUCUUAGCCACCGCUGAUUCAGUUGCUGGUUCAGAAGGAUGCUCGUCUUUGCUUGUCUCUGUAACAAAAAAAAGGAUCCAGCUUCUCUUUUUAGGAACUCCUUAUUUUUCUGUAGCAGCAUAAAAGCUUUCUCCCUGUCUCAUGGGAUAUUAAAACAUUGAUGUUUAUCAAAAUUAAGGCAGAUGAACGCUUCCACUUAUUGCCUUGUGCAGCAAAACGCUUCUCUCCGUAGGAAAAAGCACCCCACAGACUGUGUUUUUUGGGUCUAAUGGUUUAGGGAAUGGGUUAGGGAGGCAGCUGGUGAGAAAGCCCAGAGCAGGAGCCACCAGACAUCCCUCAGACCAGAUUUUUCUGCAGCUGGUGUAGCUGAGGAGAAACCUGGGAGCAAGUCAGAGAGCCCCAAGCUUAACCAGCUCGGAAGAGCUUCCAGGAUUGAUGUUCAGCAUCGGGAAAAACGAGGUUUUUUGGUUAGUCACUAAGGUGCUCCUCUGCUCCCCAUCGCCUUCUGGUCACUCUGUGUAAUCCAUGCAGGCUGAGAUAUCUUGCCAAAAAAGCUCUUUCUCAGCUCCUGAACCAGAGUUUUUCCUCAUUUCCCGUAACAGAACCUUAAGUGCCUCCAGCAGAAGCUCCCUCUGCUCCACCAGAGCCCUGCACGAGGGAAAAAGUCCUUUCCCUCUCUCCUUCCCCACCUUUAUCCCUCCAGGGAUAACCUUAACACCUUUUUUUUCCUUGUCCCAGCAGCAUACCAGAAAUAUUUUGGCUUAAAGGCUGCUGCCUGCCACUGCGCCGCUGACUAACGCUGCCCUGGACGUGUUUGCAUCUUGAAAUUUUUCCCCGCUCUGUUUGGGGGAGAAACAUCUUAGAGGUGAAGCAUGUUAAGAAACUCCAUCCAAACGUUGGCUGAAGCAGGUAUUGAAAUGUGAACAAGCCAAGCUGCACCCCGUUUCCCUCCUCUCUUUGUGAAACGGGUGAAGGUAGGAGAAGAAGCUCAAGGAACUCGUAGACACCCUUUCUAGACCCCUCAUUUUCUAGACCCUUUAUUUUCUAGAUUUUUUUUCCUAGAUUUUUUUUUUAAUUAUUAUUAUUUUCUAGAUUUUAUUUUCUAGAUUUUUUUUUUUCUAGACCAGGCUCCCUUCAAGACGUCUCAGUGUGUGGUGGGAAGGCACACGAUCUGCUGCAAGACUUCAAAAUGAAAAAAGUGAUUUCCCAAAGCAAAUCCUUCCAUGGGUUUGAUUGCAGAUAAUCCAAUUUAUCUGGCCGCCUCGGUGGCCAGGUGAGGGAGAGCCACCUUGUUUGGUGCUGCAAAGCCAGCGCUAGGAUUUAGGAAGUGCUGCGGUGGGAAGGUGUGGGAUUUCCUCAUCCUUUUCCUUCCAGGUUCUUGUUCUUGCUGGAUUUGGGGUGAAACCUUGCAGCCCGUGGCUGUUUGUCCUGCAGCAGCUUGUGCUGUUGAUCAUCUCAGGGCAAAAUUGAGCUCUGGCUUCAGGAAUCCUGCCUGCCUGAGACACGGUGCUCCCAAAAACCUCGUCGAAGGGCGUUUGCUCUGUUUGCAGAGGCAGCUUUUCAACGUUGUGGGAAACGUGGUCGUGCCUGUGGAGCUGAACAAGCUGCGAAUUCCCAGAGGAAUUCAAGUUCUGACUUGGGAGCCUUUUCUGAAAGGUUUUCUGCUGGCUUCCUGCUGGUUUAGCUCCCCUACAGCUGACAGCAGAUUGCAGGUGGAUUAAAAUGCUGCUCAAGGGUGAUCAUUUCUGAAGGUUUUGCAUGAGGAUUUCUUUUUUUUUUUUUAACAACUUUGGCUUAAAUUUGGCUUAAAUUCUCUUACUCUUGAUGGUCCCUGCCACCCUUCCUGACAACAUACAUCCCUGUAGGGGGACUGUACAAGACAACGCAUCCUUUAAUCUGUAUGUGUGAUGUUGGCUGGCCAGCACAACCCACCCAGCUCCCCCUGCUCCUCUUAAGUGCCUGGGAGCUGCCAAAUCCCAGCUGCAAGGAGGCCAGAAGACAACGGGAAGGAUUUGUGCUUGAGGAAAUUCGUGUCCUAAAUGAUCUACGUGCAAUUAAGGGGCUUUAAAGACAUUGAAUUGAGGCAGCUUCGGGUGUUUGGUUCCUGAACAUCUCUGGGUGAAGGUGGGACGGGGUAUGGGGAUGUCUGUUGGGUGUGAGUGAGGCUUUCUCCCAGCUGAGCUGGGAGAAAAAGCAUGAAAAAUAACUGUGUGAUGGUGGUUGCUCCGAAAUGAACCUCUGGUUUCUUGGUUUUUAAGAAAAAUGGGAUUACGAGGGGGUCUGAUAGCUGGCUGGAAGUGUUUUUAACUAUAUAUAUGUGUGUGUGAUGUAUGUAUCUGCAUAUAUACAUAUAUAUAUAUGCACCGGUGUACACAUAAACACUCAGCUGAUGCAGAUCCUGGUUAUGAAAUGAGAACCUGAUGGUACAACACACCUGAGAUUUAACCUGGCCGAGCAGAUUUGCAAUUAGAGGAGCUGCAGCACCUCAAAUGGCUGCACAGAGCGGGCUUUGCCUGUUGUUUUUUGGCUGCUGGCUUCCUAAAUCUGCAAACCUGGCCUGGCACCACGUGGAUUUACCAGCCGCAGGGGUGGAAGGGGUGGAUAAUGGGGUUUUAACAGCAGAUCAACCUGCUUGUGCAAAAAGGAGUUGUGGACAUCUCGUUAAAGGCAGGGUGAAGGUAAUGGAGCGGUGAGGAUUGUGUUGCAAGAGCCAACCCUUUCCAGAAAAACAUGCACAUUAAUGAAUUUGCAUUGUAAAGCCAAAUAACUACUAUUUUCUCUACAGAGGGUUUAAUUGCACCAUGCAGAUCUGCAGGACUCUGGGUAAAACUCAGCCCGAAACCAUUUUAAAGUCACUCGUUUAAAACUUUUGCUGAAAUAGCUCCUUGAAUCUGUGUUUUCUU